rnacentral:rRNA from 1 species
AUGGCGACGGCGAUGGCUCUGCUCCGCCUCGCGGUCCUCGCCGGCGCCGUCGCGCUCCUCCUGCCGGCCGUCGCCGAGGCCCGCAUCCUCCUCUCGCUCGACGACUUCGGCGCCGUCGGCGACGGCAUCGCCGACGACACGCAGGCCCUGGUGGACGCAUGGACGGCGGCCUGCGCCAGCACCAACGGCCACGUGGUCAUCCACGUGCCCGCCGGCAGGUCGUACCAGAUCUGGCCGGUGACGCUCGCCGGGCCCUGCAGGGACGAGAUCAUGAUCUUCGUACGCUCCUUCCUUCCUGCCUGCCUGCCGCCGCGUGCGCUUCUCUCGUCCGGCAUGCACGCACCUGCGCGUCUUCGCUCAUCGAGUCUUGGUUUGUGCCCCUGCCCGGUGGGACAGGUCUCCGGGAACAUCAUCGCGCCGGACAGCCCGGAGGACUGGGAGCGGCGCGACGGCGGCAAGUGGCUGCACUUCUUCCAGGUGCAGGACCUGACGGUGAGCGGCGGCGGCGUCAUCGACGGCCGCGGGCAGGAGUGGUGGGCGCAGGCCUGCAAGGGGAGGCACCGCAACGACAAGCAUUGCACAGCCCCGGAUGCUCCCAAGGCGCUUCACUUCGAGGAGUGUCAUGGGGUGCGGGUGCAGGGCGUGACGCUGCAGAACGGGCAGCAGCACCACCUGACCUUCACCCGCUGCUCCAACGCCAGGGCCAGCUUCCUCAGGGUGGCCUCGCCGGAGAGCAGCCCGGGCACCGACGGCAUCCACCUCGUCAACUCCAUCAGCGUCCACGUCAACGAUGUCCACAUCGCCACAGGCGGCGCUUGCGUGUCCAUGGUCGGCAAUUGCACCGACGUCCGCCUCAGAUACGUCUCCUGCGGACCUGGCAAUGGCAUCAGUAUUGGGAGCAUAGGCGAGACCCCGGUGGCUGACAGGCUCGAAAAGAUCGAGGUGGACACCAUGUUCAUCGCCAACACCUCCAACGGCCUCCUCAUCAAGACCUGGCAGGAUGGCUGCGGCUACGCGCGCAAGGUGAAGUUCGCCAACGUGGUGAUGAAGAACGUCUCCGACCCCAUCAUCAUCGACCAGUACCGCUCCGAGCACCCCACACCCUGCGGAUCGACCGCGGCGACGAGGACGGUGGCGGUGGAGAAGAUCGACUACGUGAACAUCGCCGGCACGUCGGCGUCGAAGCGGGCGGUGACCUUCUCGUGCAGCGACGUCGUGCCGUGCAGGCAGGUGUCGCUCAAGGACGUGAACCUGAAGCGCCUCAGCGGCCGCGGCGCCUCCGCCUACUGCCGCAGCGCGUCCGGGAAGGCCGCCGGCGUCGUCGUCCCGGAGUCCUGCCUCGACGGAACCAGGGGGGCCGCUGGCGACGAGGAGGAGUGA